rnacentral:tRNA from 1 species
AGGGCAAUGGCUCAGUGGUAGAGCACUUGCUUAGCAUGCACAAGGUCUUGGGUUCAAUCCCCAGUACCUCCA